rnacentral:rRNA from 1 species
ACGUACGACCAAACGAUCCUGUGCGUGCCCCAUCUUGUCAAAUCUCGGAAGGUAAGCAGAGCUGAGCCUGGUUCGUACUUGGAUGGGAGACUUCUUAGGAGAAUUCCAGCUCGCUGUUGUAAGUU